rnacentral:misc_RNA from 1 species
GAAUCCUACUCCUUUCGCCCUAUGUUCUAUUUUCCUGUAGGAAAGAGAAAACCCACACAGAGAGGGAAACCAGAGAAAAGUAUACACCUUUUGCAGUAUAGAUCUGACCGCUAAAGGUUUGUUUCUCUCUCUGCAUCAUUACUGUUCUGAUUAUAUAAGAAUUUUCUUUUGAUGCGAGUAAUAGCAAGUGUCUCUUGUUCAUACUUUCUCUUCUUCUUUUUUUGGGCCUUGUGUUGUGAAGUUACGGUUGUGAUGAUGGUGGCGGUGGCGGUGAUGUGACGAGGUCGUAGGCUGAUUUGGAUUUACAUUGAUUAGCUUUUUCUUCCUGCAUUAACAGACUAAUGAUAUCGAUUAUUUUAGUUGUAGUAGUUGCUCUUCUAUUGGCAUUGCUUGAAUUAACUUUGUAUGGUGCUAAUACUGGUAAUACGCGUAGCUUAUGUGUAUAGGGCUGAACAAAUAUUAUCAAUACCUUAUGUUAAAUCUGCUUCCAAUUGUGUGCCAUUGGUAAUGUUGUUAUAAUUCUAAAGAUGUGCAUUUUUCUUUGACAGCUUAUUGAUAUAUUUUCUUUGAUCUUCGUGUUGUAUUGCAAUUUCUUUGACUCGUUUGCAUUGUUUGUAAUCAAUGUGUGCCAUUUUUGAAGAUUUCUGUAUGAAAUUGAUUUGGUGAUACAAAUCAAUGCGAUCAACACCUGAACAUAAAAAAGGUAAACAUUUCAUCAGAUUAUUAGUUCUUAGUUUCCAAACUUCUUCACUUGUGAAGACAGCCUUCUUUGAACCCUUGGUGUCUGUCUUAGGAUUUAUUCUUUUGAGAGCAUUAUGGAGUUUUGUGGUGGAAAAGAGUAUUAUUGGAGGGGGUUAACUAGGUUCAAAUACAAAGAAAAGGGUAGGGUUAUGGCAUCAUAUUAGGAAGAGGGGUUAUGUGAUUGUGUUUAUUUUUAAGUCAAUGAUGGAUGAUUUAUUCUUGGCAUGGUUCUUGGUGUGCAAAAGUCUUUAUUAAAAAAGAAAAAUUCUAUUCUUUUCCUGAUAUCUUGUAGCACAUGAUGGUGACGAUAUUGUGAACUAGUGUUCUAAUGUAAGAGUGGAAUAGUAAUUUGGAAUUCUUUAUUGGAGAUAUAGCACGAUGCACAUUUGUUGAAGCCUUUAAAGGCGAAGGUCCCCUCAGAAGUUCUUUUUUUGCAUGGAAGCAUGUCGGGAAUUCCAUUAACCAUGGAUAAUAUAAUGAGAAGAAGCUGACAAUUGGCUUUUUUUUCUUUGUUGGAGACCUGGACCUAAAAGGUGAACAAAAUCUGAAUUUUCUUUUUAUGAUAGCUACAAGAUUAGUAAAUGAGUGAAUGUUAGAUUAUUCAGGUAAUAUCUUCAUCGAUGCAUGGAUUUCAGAAAAUACUGUUGACCUAUGUCCAAUGACUUAGUUGUCUUAUCCUCUUUCUCGCUAUUAAUAUUUAACAUGGUUGUCAACAGGAAUUUUUCUCAUUGUUUUGCACUUUUAUAGUUGUUUGAAUAUAGAAGUUAUAACAAACAAUAUCAGUUACUUUUUGUGUCAGAUCAUAAAAUAAAAUAUACCAUUUUUUUAAAAAUAUUUUAGAAGUUUUCUGAUGUGCAUUUCUAUGGAUUCUUUAACUUGUAAAUGAUUCUUUGUUUUUGUGUAUUGCUGUGCCUCCUUUAUGCCCUUUUGGCUUCUCUGAUUAUCUGGAAGGAGAAGUCAAGAAUCAUUCUUUGCGCAUUUGCCUUAUUGGUAAAGUAGAUAAGAAGUUAGGAAUGAAAAAGGCUUUCUUUACGCAUUUUUAUAUUCACCUUUCCCCCAUGACAUUGUUUUUGCCAACAAAAUGGCUCUUGACAUUAUUUUUUUGCUUAUCACCAUUUUGUUCUCUCUUCAAUCAUGAUAUCUUCAAUUCUUUUGGUCCAUUGAAUGAGACUUUCUUUUAUUAUUUUUUUAUUUAUGAAAAUAUGUCUUGAGAAGUUUAGAUUGUGAAUUCUAUGCAUUUUCAUUGUUAUGAGGCUUUUUCAUUGUAGUUUCUAUCUUGUUGACUUUUGUUCUUUGGACAAGUUGUAAGUGCAGUCAUCAAAUUUGUUCUGAUUUUUGCCAAUGGUUAUGGCACAAUUACACAUCUUUUAACAUGCAAAAGUGAGUGCCAGUUGACAGUUGUUCCUUCCAAUCAAAGUUUAUCAUCUCAUCCUUUGCAGUGCAUAUAUUGCAGGUUAUGACCUCAGCAAAGGCCUAGCAGAAGGUGCAUAAGUUAAUUUAUUACACACCUUUGGCAUAUAUAUUGAAGAAUGGCAGAAGGAAUAUCAAGCUUUUGGGGUCCAGUAACAUCUGCUGAUUGGUGUGAGAAAAAUUAUGUCUAUUCUUCUUAUAUUGCAGAGUUUUUCAAUACUAUAUCAAAUAUCCCAAGCAUUCUUUUGGCGCUCAUUGGUCUCAUAAAUGCCCUGAGACAACGAUUUGAAAAGAGGUUUAGUGUACUUAACAUGUCUAAUAUGAUACUUGCUAUUGGAAGCAUGCUGUACCACAGCACGUUACAACAUAUGUAAGUGUUCUUCUGUAUCAAUUGAUAUGGCUCAUCAAUUUCUUUCAACUCCUUUACUAAUUAUUUUUAUGAGUUAGGUGUCCUUUAAAAUUAUCUAUAUAUGUGCUCAGAACAGGAAAAGAUAAUGUCAACUUCCUUGUUUGAGAAGUUAAAAUCUUCUACUUCUUUAGUCAUUAGGAAGGAAAUUUGUGCAUUCAUUUGGAGUUUCUUUAUUGAGCUAGGGAACAAAAGGAUCUGUAUUGAAAAUCACACCAAGCAAAGGUACAAGAAAUGCUUCCAGGUAGCUAAUCCGUUAUAUCAGUUGAUUCUAGGUUUGUACAUGACAUCCAUUAAAUCUUGCUGCUUUUCAUACCUUUUAGAUAGAAUGCAUUCAUAAAAUGCUUAUAUACAAAAUAAAUAUUUGGAUAAAUGAAGACUGUCAUUGCCUGGCUCAGGUGAUGGAAAUUGAGGAGUAUUUAAGUUAGUCCCCUUGAUUUUUAUAGUUUAAGUUUCUAAUCAGAUCAUUUUUGGCACCAUUUGUUAGUUUAAUGUGCUCCUCUGCAGAAAAUUAAAAAAAAAAAGGUUGGGGGGUGGGGGGGUCUUCAGCUUUUUAGUGUCUUCAGCUUUUUAGUGUGUUAAUAAUUUGAUGUAUAUACUUCAAUGUUCUUUGUUGAUUAAUUAAAUUUGGAAGAGAAUAGAAUAAUAUAGAUGAAGGUUUUGAGAGGAAUGGUGAUUGGAUGACUUUGCAACACCUUACGGGUGCUAAGGCAUGCCUUUGCAGCAUUAGUUCCAAUCUGUUGUAGAAAUGUAUCUGGGAAUUAAUUCACUGUCUCUCUGUUGCACUUCCAUCGGCUUGUCAAAGAAUCAAUUUUUAAUGGAAAAAUGUUGAAAAAUCUUUGAAAAUUAAUGUGUUAACAUUUCUGUGCUUGUGUGCCCCCUUUGGAGUAACCAUUGGCUUGGUAUUGUAGUUGAACGAAAGUCAUACCAUGUUAUGUAAACUUGUUUAAUUAUUUGUUUUUUUGUCAUUGUUGGUUACAUUAUGUUGAUUUAAGGUGUGUGUUUUCUCGAACCUAUUUUCAGGCAACAACAAGGUGAUGAAACACCAAUGGUAUGGGAAAUGCUUUUGUAUUUCUACAUCCUUUAUUCGCCAGAUUGGCACUACCGGAGUACAAUGCCCACCUUUUUGUUCCUUUACGGAGCUGCAUUUGCAGUUGUUCAUGCAUUGGUUCGUUUUGGAAUUGGUUUUAAGGUGCACUAUGCAAUCCUUUGUCUUCUCUGCAUACCCCGGAUGUACAAAUACUACAUUUACACAAAGGAUGUGUCCGCAAAGCGGCUUGCAAAAUUAUAUGUGGGUACCAUAUUCUUGGGGAGUCUUUGUUGGCUCUUGGAUCGCAUUCUCUGCAGUGAUAUUUCUCAGUGGUACUUCAACCCACAGGGACAUGCUUUAUGGCAUGUCUUCAUGGGCUUCAAUUCAUAUUUUGCUAACACUUUCCUGAUGUUUUGCCGUGCUCAACAGUUAGGGUGGAAUCCAAAAGUUGUCCACUUCAUGGGUUUUUUCCCAUAUGUUAAGGUUGAAAAACCGAAGACCCAGUGAGAGAUGCUAUCCCUCAUUUGGAGGUAGAUAUAUGGUUUUGGCAGAUGAACAAGCAAUAGCGGUCAAUUUUUUUCUUUUCUUUUAAGUGGAUGUAAAUGGUAGUUGAAUAUUGAGAUCAUCAGUUGGAUUUUGGUUAAUUGAAGUUGUAUAACUAGUGGUUUUGCUUGGAAAGAAAAUGUAUGGUCAGUGUACCAUAUAUUAUUUUCAGAUCAAAUAGGUCCUUCAUUCUCCAAACUUGAAAAUGUAUGCUUGAUGUAUUUGUUUUGUGAUUAAACAUGGAUAGCGUGAAAUGCGUCAAGUUGCAAUUCAUGUGUGCUCAUAUGAGAGAAUCAAUUGACAGCAGUUUGAAUAAAGCAUCUG